rnacentral:rRNA from 1 species
CCUUGAACCGCAUGGUUCAAGGAUGAAAGACGGUUUCGGCUGUCACUUACAGAUGGACCCGCGGCGCAUUAGCUAGUUGGUGAGGUAACGGCUCACCAAGGCGACGAUGCGUAGCCGACCUGAGAGGGUGAUCGGCCACACUGGGACUGAGACACGGCCCAGACUCCUACGGGAGGCAGCAGUAGGGAAUCUUCCGCAAUGGACGAAAGUCUGACGGAGCAACGCCGCGUGAGUGAUGAAGGUUUUCGGAUCGUAAAGCUCUGUUGUUAGGGAAGAACAAGUGCAAGAGUAACUGCUUGCACCUUGACGGUACCUAACCAGAAAGCCACGGCUAACUACGUGCCAGCAGCCGCGGUAAUACGUAGGUGGCAAGCGUUGUCCGGAAUUAUUGGGCGUAAAGGGCUCGCAGGCGGUUUCUUAAGUCUGAUGUGAAAGCCCCCGGCUCAACCGGGGAGGGUCAUUGGAAACUGGGAAACUUGAGUGCAGAAGAGGAGAGUGGAAUUCCACGUGUAGCGGUGAAAUGCGUAGAGAUGUGGAGGAACACCAGUGGCGAAGGCGACUCUCUGGUCUGUAACUGACGCUGAGGAGCGAAAGCGUGGGGAGCGAACAGGAUUAGAUACCCUGGUAGUCCACGCCGUAAACGAUGAGUGCUAAGUGUUAGGGGGUUUCCGCCCCUUAGUGCUGCAGCUAACGCAUUAAGCACUCCGCCUGGGGAGUACGGUCGCAAGACUGAAACUCAAAGGAAUUGACGGGGGCCCGCACAAGCGGUGGAGCAUGUGGUUUAAUUCGAAGCAACGCGAAGAACCUUACCAGGUCUUGACAUCCUCUGACAACCCUAGAGAUAGGGCUUUCCCUUCGGGGACAGAGUGACAGGUGGUGCAUGGUUGUCGUCAGCUCGUGUCGUGAGAUGUUGGGUUAAGUCCCGCAACGAGCGCAACCCUUGAUCUUAGUUGCCAGCAUUCAGUUGGGCACUCUAAGGUGACUGCCGGUGACAAACCGGAGGAAGGUGGGGAUGACGUCAAAUCAUCAUGCCCCUUAUGACCUGGGCUACACACGUGCUACAAUGGACAGAACAAAGGGCUGCGAGACCGCAAGGUUUAGCCAAUCCCACAAAUCUGUUCUCAGUUCGGAUCGCAGUCUGCAACUCGACUGCGUGAAGCUGGAAUCGCUAGUA